GCUGGUGCUUUAGAUAGAUUCAGGGAAACCUGGGGCGGUGAUAAUGUAUUGCAAGCAUUAUUGCCGUUUACAUA
rnacentral:sRNA from 24 species